rnacentral:tRNA from 1 species
GGAUUGUGGCUCAGGGGUAGAGUGCUUACCUAGCAUGUGUGAAGCACUGGGUUCGAUUCUCAGCACCA